GAGCUGUAGAUUCAUCUUUUCAACCAUAAAGACAUGCAGUAUGAACAGCACUUUUUAAAAACCUCUGUGAUAUCUGUUACACUUUUUUUUUUUUUUGCCUGACUGAACAGCAAAGAGCUUCUACUGGAGAUGGGUACACGGUAAAGGACAGGCGCCCGAAACA